rnacentral:rRNA from 1 species
UGGGGAAUAUUGGACAAUGGGCGCAAGCCUGAUCCAGCCAUGCCGCGUGAGUGAUGAAGGCCCUAGGGUUGUAAAGCUCUUUUGUGCGGGAAGAUAAUGACUGUACCGCAAGAAUAAGCCCCGGCUAACUUCGUGCCAGCAGCCGCGGUAAUACGAAGGGGGCUAGCGUUGCUCGGAAUCACUGGGCGUAAAGGGUGCGUAGGCGGGUCUUUAAGUCAGGGGUGAAAUCCUGGAGCUCAACUCCAGAACUGCCUUUGAUACUGAGGAUCUUGAGUUCGGGAGAGGUGAGUGGAGCUGCGAGUGUAGAGGUGAAAUUCGUAGAUAUUCGCAAGAACACCAGUGGCGAAGGCGGCUCACUGGCCCGAUACUGACGCUGAGGCACGAAAGCGUGGGGAGCAAACA